rnacentral:rRNA from 1 species
ACCUGGCCAUGGCACCCUCAACAAGCUUGAUCCCGUCUGAUCUCGGAAGCUAAGCAGGGUCGGGCCUGGUUAGUUAUUUGAUAGGAGACCACCUAGGAAGGCCAGGUGCUGUAGGUG